GUAAUCUUACUAUCUGAAUAAUAAUCUCGAUAUCCCUUCCAUUCUACCUGUGCUUGCCUCCACAGUGAAGCUAAACUCUGUAGAGUAAAAUCGUGUGGUACCAAGACGCAGCCACAGUAACACAAUCACAGCUGGGUACUGGCUCCCAUGUUCUGCCCAGCUUCUGUCUGUGGAUCAAAGUUCCUUUCUUCUUCAGGAGAAGGAAUGGGGCUAGGAAGUGACCAGGAUUUUCUCAGAUCGUGUCACCUUGAUGCUUCCCUGAAGCUGCAGGAGUCUCACUUCCAGCUGAAGGUGUCUGCAGGCUUGUCAUUCCUGGAUGUUGCUAUUUAUGCUGGUCACCCACUGAGGAUGUGGAAACUUCGGGUGCCUGCAUGAUCACUGAACAGCAUGGAUCUGGUGAUGCUGAUGGCUCCUGGGUGAGGACCUGAAGUGGCAGCAGAGGUGCUGGGAAAGGGUAAGAAAAUUGAGACAUAUGUUGAAUGUGGGAGGUUAGGAUGGACUGUGAAGCCUCAACAGGGAUCUCGAGCAGAGAUGCCUCAUUGACAGAAACUAUGGAGUUAAGUGCCUACUCCCUCAGUCGCCCCUGCAGGGUUCACCUGCAAAGUUAAUAGCAACAUUUUCUGUAGCAAUCUUGUUAUAAGAAACACACCAACCCCAAACAAGAAAUGUGACAUCUAAGAAGCUUUGUAGGCAGAGAAUUACCAACCAUUUACUAACUUAUCUUGCUCUAUGUGGGCAAAUGAAAAAUUAAGCCAAGUCCAGGGAUCAGCUCAUCUUCCAGCAGAGCCAUACAUUAGAAUAAUUCAUUUUCUUCUCAGCACUUAGAAACUAAAAGAAGGCAUUGAAAAGGAGGCCUUGCAUGAGACACACACCACCCUGAGGUACAAUGCACUUGACCCAAACAAAUGCUGCCCUGAAUUUGCAGAACAUCACAUGUAUAGAUGCACCAACAUAUGUGCAUAUAUAUAAGAAGGAUAACACAUACUUAAAGAAAAAGCAAUCUUCCCAGCAUGGAAAGAAAUAAUUUCUCAGCAUGGAGAGUAUACAACACUAGGGUAAGAGUCCCUUGCAGAAACAUAGAUUCUUAUAAGGAUCAGAUAGUAAGUACAACCACCCACCAUAUUUUAAGUCAAAAAUGAUUAAGAUGAUUGGAGUUUGGAGUUCUCCG
rnacentral:lncRNA from 12 species